AUAGAGAGACUAAUCGUUCAUAUGACUUGGGUAUAGGGGAACAAUACUAAUCAAACCAUCUAAUAGCUGGUUUCCUCCAAAGUUUACCCCAAGAUAGCUGGAGCUCACGUGUGAGUUUUAUCAGGUAAAGAAAAUGAUUAGAGGCAUCGGGGGCGUAACGCGUUCGACCUAUUCUCAAAAUUUAAAUAGGUAAGAUGGUAUGAUUGCUCCAUUGAGCCAUGUAAUGGAAUUGAGAGCUCAAAGUGGGUCAUUUUUGGUAAGAAGAAUUGGCGAUGCGGGAUGAACCGAAAGUCGAGUUAUGGUAACUUCCCCACAACUUGUCGAUUUUUGGCCUUUCCAGGAGAUCUCACUUGUAUAGUGUGACCCACACAAAAUAAUUGAUAUAAAAUUAUGAAACCCGCA
rnacentral:ncRNA from 1 species